rnacentral:rRNA from 1 species
UACGUAGGGUGCGAGCGUUAAUCGGAAUUACUGGGCGUAAAGCGUGCGCAGGCGGUUUUGUAAGCCAGAUGUGAAAUCCCCGGGCUUAACCUGGGAAUGGCAUUUGGGACUGCAAGGCUGGAGUUUGGCAGAGGAGACUGGAAUUCCCGGUGUAGCAGUGAAAUGCGUAGAUAUCGGGAGGAAUACCGAUGGCGAAGGCAGGUCUCUGGGCUGACACUGACGCUCAUGCACGAAAGCGUGGGGAGCAAACAGG